UUUUCAGAAAGUGAGGCAAAAUGUAACAACUCACAGAACCCCAUGGAGCAUUCCAGUGACAAAAACCAGGCUGUGUGGAGCUCCAGGCCGGCGUGUGCCUGUUUUCGCCUGGGUCACGGGUCUAGGCUGGGAUUCCGCAUCUGUGCACUGCUUGUCACAGUCGUGUGAGCCAAGGAGACGCUCAUCAAAGCAGGUGGUUUCAGCACAAGAUGCUCACAAUGCAAGCCCCAGUGCCUCUAAUGAAGGCAGACCGCAUUAACUCCACGGUGUGACUGUGUGUGAGCUCUGAGAGGCUGCUGCUCACAGUAAUGUUAACAACUGAAUUACGUGAAGAUUCUGUAAUUAAUUUUCAUAUGGCCUCUUAAAAAACUAUUGUGACACUUAGAAAUCUGAUCUUUAAACUGUUGAAGACUGAAAAUAUAUUAAAUUCUGUCCUCAAUGUCAAGAUUUCAAUUGUGG
rnacentral:lncRNA from 1 species